AAUAGAUACCCUGGUAGUCCACGCCGUAAACGUUGGAUACUAGGUGUGGCGGUUAUACCAAUGACUGCCGUGCCGAAGCUAACGCAUUAAGUAUCCCGCCUGGGGAGUACGGCCGCAAGGCUAAAACUCAAAGGAAUUGACGGGUCCCCGCACAAGCGGCGGAGCAUGCGGCUUAAUUCGAUGCAACCCGAAGAACCUUACCUGGGUUUGACAUCACGGGAAAAGCUGUAGAAAUACAGUGUCCGUAAGGGCCCGUGACAGGUGGUGCAUGGCUGUCGUCAGCUCGUGUCGUGAGAUGUUGGGUUAAGUCCCGCAACGAGCGCAACCCUUGUCCUAUGUUGCCAGCAGUUCGGCUAGGGACUCGUAGGAGACUGCCGGGGAUAACUCGGAGGAAGGUGAGGACGACGUCAAGUCAUCAUGCCCCUUAUAUCCAGGGCUGCACGCAUGCUACAAUGGCCGGUACAACGGGCAGCGACCCCGCGAGGGUGAGCGAAUCCUAUAAAGCCGGUCCCAGUUCGGAUUGAAGU
rnacentral:rRNA from 1 species